UAUCUUUUUGAUUUAUAUUCUUUUCAAAUUAGAUAUAAUAAUGUCUAUUUUCCUUUUUCUGUUCCAGCGAAUUAGAGAUCUAGAAGAUAAAAUAGAACUUCAAAAGAGGCAACUCAAAGAAAUUGAAGAAAAGCAUUCAUUCUGUGGCCUUGAUGACACAACUGAGCCGAGACGUGUGGCUAUUAAAAGACCCUAUGGAGUGAAAAGCUGA
rnacentral:lncRNA from 1 species